AUGGUGGAGAGACUGAACCAGCCAAGUCGCGUGAAGGAAGACGGCUCUAGAGUGUGUAAACUUCUGUUUGUACAUGGAGUAAAGUGAGACACGUGUGUGAUAUUGCAAGUACUGUACGAAUAAGCAUCGGCUAACUCCGUGCCAGCAGCCGCGGUAAUACGGAAGGAUGCAAGCCGUUAUCCGGAUUUAUUGGGUUUAAAGGGUGCGUAGGCGGUAUGACAAGUCAGGGGUGAAAUCUGGUGCUUAACAUUAAGAUUGCCUUUGAAACUGUGGUACUUGAGUGUAAAAGAUGUAGGCGGAAUGUGUUGUGUAGCGGUGAAAUGCAUAGAUAUAACACAGAAACCCCGAUUGCGAAGGCAGCUUACUAUCAUACAACUGACGCUGAUGCACGAUGCGUGGGGAUCAUACAGGAUUAGAUACCCUGGUAGUCCACGCAGUAAACGAUGAUUAGCUAGCUGUUAGCGAUAUACUGUUAGUGGGCUAAGCGAAAGCGAUAAGUACAUCCACCUGGGGGAGUACGUUCGCAAGAAUGAAACUCAAA
rnacentral:rRNA from 1 species